rnacentral:rRNA from 1 species
CCCUUAGAUGUCCUGGGCCGCACGCGCGCUACACUGACAUGUUCAACAAGUUUCUCCUAGUUCGACAGGACUGGGAAAUCUUUGAACGCAUGUCGUGAUAGGGAUAGAUCAUUGCAAUUAUUGAUCUUGAACGAGGAAUUCCUAGUAAACGCGAGUCAUCAGCUCGCAUUGAUUACGUCCCUGCCCUUUGUACACACCGCCCGUCGCACCUACCGAUUGAAUGUUUCGGUGAAGAUUCCGGAUAGGACUGAUUUGAUUUAUUUCAUUUCUGACCUAAAAGCUAUCUAAACCUCAACAUUUAGAGGAAGGUGAAGUCGUAAC